rnacentral:rRNA from 1 species
CUAAGGCUCCAGAGGAAGCCACGGCUAACUCUGUGCCAGCAGCCGCGGUAAUACAGAGGCGGCAAGCGUUGUUCGGAAUUAUUGGGCGUAAAGAGCACGUAGGCGGCCUUGCAAGUCAGUUGUGAAAGCCUUCCGCUUAACGGAAGAAUGCCAGCUGAUACUACAGGGCUUGAGUACGGGAGGGGAGAGAGGAACUUCUGGUGGAGCGGUGAAAUGCGUAGAUAUCAGAAGGAACGCCGGCGGCGAAAGCGACUCUCUGGCCCGAAACUGACGCUGAGUGUGCGAAAGCUAGGGGAGCAAACGGGAUUAGAUACCCCGGUAGUCCUAGCCGUAAA